GGGCCCGCACAAGCGGUGGAGUAUGUGGUUUAAUUCGAUGCAACGCGAAGAACCUUACCAGGGCUUGACAUCCUGCGAAUCUCUGGGAAACCGGAGAGUGCCUUCGGGAACGCAGUGACAGGUGGUGCAUGGCUGUCGUCAGCUCGUGUCGUGAGAUGUUGGGUUAAGUCCCGCAACGAGCGCAACCCACGUCUUUAGUUGCCAGCAUUUAGUUGGGCACUCUAGAGAGACCGCCGGUGAUAAACCGGAGAAGGUGUGGAUGACGUCAAAUCAUCACGGCCCUUACGUCUGGGCUACACACGUGCUACAAUGGUCGGUACAGAGAGCAGCCACUACGCGAGUAGGAGCAAAUCUUCAAAGCCGAUCUC
rnacentral:rRNA from 1 species